rnacentral:rRNA from 1 species
UAUUGGACAAUGGGCGCAAGCCUGAUCCAGCAAUACCGCGUGUGUGAAGAAGGCCUUAGGGUUGUAAAGCACUUUCAAUUGGGAGGAAAACCUGCCGGUCAAUCCCCGGUAGCUUGACAUUACCUUUAGAAGAAGCACCGGCUAACUCCGUGCCAGCAGCCGCGGUAAUACGGAGGGUGCGAGCGUUAAUCGGAAUUACUGGGCGUAAAGCGUGCGUAGGCGGUUCGUUAAGUCAGAUGUGAAAGCCCUGGGCUCAACCUGGGAACGGCAUUUGAAACUGGCGGACUAGAGUUUAGUAGAGGGGAGUGGAAUUUCAGGUGUAGCGGUGAAAUGCGUAGAUAUUUGAAGGAACACCAGUGGCGAAGGCGACUCCCUGGACUAGAACUGACGCUGAGGUACGAAA